AGAGUUUGAUCAUGGCUCAGGAUGAACGCUAGCUACAGGCUUAACACAUGCAAGUCGAGGGUAGCAGGGUAGCAAUACCGCUGACGACCGGCGCACGGGUGAGUAACACGUAUCCAACCUUCCCAUAACUCAGGGAUAGCCUUUCGAAAGAAAGAUUAAUACCUGAUAGUACUUUUUCAAGGCAUCUUGAGAAAGUUAAAGAUUUAUGGUUAUGGAUGGGGAUGCGUUCCAUUAGAUAGUUGGUGAGGUAACGGCUCACCAAGUCUUCGAUGGAUAGGGGUUCUGAGAGGAAGGUCCCCCACAUUGGUACUGAGACACGGACCAAACUCCUACGGGAGGCAGCAGUGAGGAAUAUUGGUCAAUGGGCGAGAGCCUGAACCAGCCAAGUAGCGUGAAGGAUGAAGGUCCUAUGGAUUGUAAACUUCUUUUAUAGUAGAAUAAAGUGAUCCACGUGUGGAUUUUUGUAUGUAUACUAUGAAUAAGGAUCGGCUAACUCCGUGCCAGCCGCAGC
rnacentral:rRNA from 1 species